UACCCCGCUGGGAUUAAGCAUAUCAAUAAGCGGAGGAAAAAGAAACCAACAGGGAUUGCCCUAGUAACGGCGAGUGAAGCGGCAACAGCUCAAAUUUGAAAUCUGGCGUAAGCCCGAGUUGUAAUUUGUAGAGGAUGCUUCUGGGUAGCGGCCGGUCUAAGUUCCUUGGAACAGGACGUCAUAGAGGGUGAGAAUCCCGUAUGUGACUGGCUUGCACCCUCCACGUAGCUCCUUCGACGAGUCGAGUUGUUUGGGAAUGCAGCUCUAAAUGGGAGGUAAAUUUCUUCUAAAGCUAAAUACCGGCCAGAGACCGAUAGCGCACAAGUAGAGUGAUCGAAAGAUGAAAAGCACUUUGGAAAGAGAGUUAAAAAGCACGUGAAAUUGUUGAAAGGGAAGCGCCCGCAACCAGACUUUGCGGCGGUGUUCGGCUGGUCUUCUGACCGGUUUACUCGCCGCCGUGAGGCCAUCAUCGUCUGGGACCGCUGGAUAAGACCUGAGGAAUGUAGCUCCCUUCGGGGUGUGUUAUAGCCUCUGGUGAUGCAGCGCGUCUCGGGCGAGGUCCGCGCUUCGGCAAGGAUGAUGGCGUAAUGGUUGUCGGCGGCCCGUCUUGAAACACGGACCAAGGAGUCUAACAUCUAUGCGAGUGUUCGGGUGUCAAACCCCUACGCGUAAUGAAAGUGAACGGAGGUGGGAACUUUUUGUGCACCAUCGACCGAUCCUGAUGUCCUCGGAUGGAUUUGAGUAAGAGCAUAGCUGUUGGGACCCGAAAGAUGGUGAACUAUGCCUGAAUAGGGUGAAGCCAGAGGAAACUCUGGUGGAGGCUCGCAGCGGUUCUGACGUGCAAAUCGAUCGUCAAAUUUGGGUAUAGGGGCGAAAGACUAAUCGAACCAUCUAGUAGCUGGUUUCCUGCCGAAGUCCCCCCUUCAAGGAAA
rnacentral:rRNA from 1 species